GGAAGAUGGUACCCUUAAUGGCUCAGAACAAGAGGUAGGGGCUGCCCAUGGGGGAGGGGGGUGGAGAGCGGCCAGCCUGAGUCACGUGGGCAGAAUCCUCACGUCCCACACUUCAGGGGAGCGUUUGUGAAGGAAAAUGAGGUUAGCCUCCAUCCCUGCCAUAUCUCACCCUAUGACUGUUUUUGUGCAGAAGAGACCUAGGACUGGAAAGAAUAUCAAAGAUCAUCUUGCCUUAAUCCUACCAUUUUGCAGAGAAGGAAACUACAGUUCAAGGAAGUUAUAUGACUCAUCCAAGAUCACACUUGUAAUAAGGGCAGAAGUAUUUGAACUCAAGAUCUAUAAUGCAAAAAUAAUAGUCUUUCUACUCUA